rnacentral:lncRNA from 1 species
CCUCUUCCUCCUCCUCCUCUUCCUCCUCUUCCUCCUCUUCCUCCUCUUCCUCCUCCUCCUCCUCCUCCUCCCCACCCCUUUCCAUUUCCCCAUUUCCUGCCCUUCCUCCUCCUCCUUCUCCUCCUCCUCCCUCUCCCCUUUUUCCCAAUUUUCCCCACUUUUCCCUCAUUUUUGGGCCCUUUUCCCACCUGCUCUUCCUCCUCCUCCUCCUCCUCCAUCCCUUUUUUCCCAAUUUUGUCCUUUCCCCCAUUUCCUGCCCUUCCUCUUCCUCCCCUCUCUCAUUUUCCCCAAUUUUUCCCCAUUUUCCCCCAAUUUAUCCCAAAUUUUUCCCAUUUUUCCCCAUUUCACCCCAAUUUCCCCAAAUUUUCCCAAUUUUCCCCAAUUUUUCCCAAAUUUACCCAACUUUUCCCCCAAUUUUUUCCAUUUUACCCCAAUUUUCCCCAAUUUUCCCCCAAUUUUCCCAAUUUUUCCCCAAUUUUUCCCAAUUUUCCCCCAAUUUUCCCCAUUUUCCCUAAUUUAUCCCUAAUUUAUCCCAAAUUUUUCUCCAUUUUUCCCAAUUUUUCCCCAAUUUUUCCCAUUUUCCCCAAUUUAUCCCAAAUUUUUCCCAUUUCCCCCAAUUUAUCCCAAAUUUAUCCCCAUUAUUUCCCACUUUGCCCAUUUUUCCCCCAAUUUCCCCCCAAUUUUUACCAUUUUCCCCAAAUUUUUCCCAUUUUAACCCAAAUUUUUCCCAUUUUCCCCCAUUUUUAUCCUCAUUUCCCCCAUUUUAUCCCCAAUUUAUCCCAAAUUUUUCCCAUUUCCCCCCAAUUUUCCUGCCAAUUUUUCCAAUUUUCCCCCAAUUUCCCCCCAAUUUUUCCCCAUUUCCCUAAUUUAUCCCAAAUUUAUCCCAAAUUUUUCCCCAUUUUCCCCCAAUUAAUCCCAAAUUUUCCCCAAUUUUCCCCAAUUUUUCCCAUUUUUCCCAAUUUCCCCCCAUUUUCCCGAAUUUGUCCCCAAUUUUUCCCAUUUUUCCCCAUUUUCUCCUAUUUUUCCCCAAUUUCCCCCAAAUUUUUCCCCAUUUCCCCAAUUUAUCCAAAUUUAUCCCAAAUUUUCCUUUUUUUCCCCAAUUUUCCCCCAAGUCUUUACCAAUUUUCCAAUUUUUUCCCAUUUCCCCCAAUUUAUCCCAAAUUUUCCCCAUUAUUUUCCCCCAAUUUUCUCCAUUUUCCCAUUUUUCCCCCAUUUUUGACAUUUUUCCCCAAUUUCCCCAGUUUUUCCCAUUUUUACCCCAUUUUUACCCCAUUUUCCCCCAUUUUCCCCAAUUUAGCUCAAAUUUUUCCAAUUUCCCCCCUUUUUCCCCAAUUUUGUCUCAUUUUAUCCCAAAUUUUCCCCCAAUUUUCCCCCAUUUUCCCCAAUUUAUUCCAAAUUUAUCCCAAAUUUUCCCCAAUUUUUUCCCAUUUUCCCCUUAAUUUUUCCAAAUUUCCCCAAAUUUUCCCCUAA